UAUAUUAUAUUUUUGGUUACAAUUUAGAAAAAGGUAUCGAAAAAAGUAUUGUUUGGGUAACAGUAUCGAAAAUUUUAAAGUGAUACCCGGCUCUAGUGAUAUUAUGUUAUUAUUAUAUUAAUGGCAUUUAAAUGGUCUUAACAUGCCAGUAUUAUUGUGUAUCAUUCGCAAAUGACCAAUGACCAGCCUAUUGGAUAGCGGCCAUACUCUGACUUAAAAAAAAAAAAAAAAAAAAAAAUAAUAAUAAUUAUGCAUACAUGCUUCUGUAAAACUUUUUUAUAUAGUCUUCAAUAUUAAAUUUAUAAUGUUAAAAAAAUCAUAAAAAUAAAGACAACACACUGAAUGAGGAGAAGAGGCGUGGCCUACCUUUUGAAUGAUUUUGUUUGCGUCCAAGCGGAACUACUGAUUGCAUCCUCGUGAAAACAAGACCGAAUUAAGAGACGGACUCGCACAUGCGCAGAAAUGGGUGAGGGAAUGCGGCGCAUGCGCAGUAGUUGAGGGGGAUGAUGUGAAUAAAGAGGAGCAGUAAUGGGGGUUUAGGAGCUGCAGGUAAACUGAGUGUGGGACUGCAGGCAGCGGGGUUUCAGGAGCUGCUUUAAAAGGCAAAGCUGCAGCGCGCACACCUGAGCGCGUGAUCAGGUAACGGGGGGAAACAGCGGACGCGCGCUUUGGUUCCGCGCGCGUGUUUCUCUCGCUGUUAAAAGUUUAAAACAGGUGGUGGGCGACUCCACGCCCUGAAGCCCACCUCCCGCAGGCUGCAGGCUGAAUCCCAGCGGCUGAAAACUAUUUAAACUAAACUAAACCCGGAGUUUGAUUUGUGUUCUGCUGUUCUGAGCUGAGCGGAGGGACGGACGGACGGGAGCCGGGAGGAGGACAUGCUCUGCCAUGUGACCUAAACUCACUCAGUAGUGAACUGUGCUGUGCUGUGGGGAGACUGUGCCUGAGCUCAGUGCUGCUGCUGAACAGGACCUGCCCAACAUGACCCAGCAGACUCAAGGCACUAUUACCUGGAAAGUCUCAAAUCAUUACAGUCUCCAAGGGGAUUCCAGUGAGGACGACGAGUUUAUCCCUGGACAUGGGCUGCGUGGAAGCUGUGAAGACUGCGUGUGCUGCGUGUGCGGCGAGACCUUCACCUUCCUCAACAACCUCAUUGAGCACUUCAGUGUGCACAAGGGAGAGGUGCGCUGCCACUUGUGUCAGGUGACCUUCACUCGAGCGAUCUCCCUGGCCUUGCACCUGGAAAAUGCCCAUCCGAACUACCACCUCUACUGUGAAAGCUGCAAGGUCAUGUUCUGGAGCACGUGGCACAUGAACCAGCACAUGGGGCAGCAUGUUGAAGGUAGGAAAGUCGAGCCAACUAAUGAGGACAUCAAACCUCUUCAGACGGAGGCACAGAAGCCUCUGUGGCUGGAGGUGGAGGUGGAGGAGGUGAUGGUUAAGACCGAGGAGGUGGAAGUAAAGUGUGUGAAGGACGAAGAGGAAGAGGUUCAGUUGGGGAAGCUUCAGUGGGCAACAGAGAGCAUCUCCACGACGUUCUCAAAGGAGGGUCAGCUGUCUGAUCAUAAUUACUGUCGCGUGAAAGACAGUAAUGCAAUCAGUUCAUGCAUUUCACGCAGUUCCAGCAGAGAACAAAAUGAGAGUGAUGCAAACAGCAACAGUGAACCUUUACCCGUGUUUAAUAAUAGACCAAACACUGGAGGAUCAGACUUCAACUCUGUUAAUGUGCUUGAAGAGAAGGUGGAAGUUUUGGUGCUUCGCUCUUUGGCUCAAAGAGAAGAAGCAUCAAAGGCAGACAGGAAUGUAACAUCAUGUGAAGGACGGGCGCAGGAGGAGGAAAUGCCCUCACUGUCUGUCUCAGUUCUACCAAAGUUGGAGCCAGAGCAGCUGGAACUAGAUAUAAAAUUGGAGGACGACAGCGAGAACGACGUAUUGGAGUGUGCGCCCGUUGAGGACGAUUCAGAAAAGGCAGGUGUGGAAAACGUCGACGUCAAGGAGGAAAGUGACUCUUCACAGCGUAGUUCAUUGUACUCGCCUUUGAAAGACAUCAGCUCUGACACGGAUUCAGCCUUUGACAUGUCCACGGACUACGACAGUGACUUCUCAGACGAAGGUUCCUUAAGAUUACUUCGGUCCAGGGCCGUCAAAAAGCGACGAGUUCGUUUUAACACUAAUGAGGAUUCCGUUAGUCCUGAAAACGCCUGUGCUGUAACAGAUCCAAGAACAUCAGACUGCACAGCAUCAAGCUCUAUAAAAAUCACCGCACUUAAUGACAACAACAUCUUUAGCAACUACACUUGCUUGUCGUGCCUCCAGGUGUUUCCCAACCAGAAAACCUUUAUGAUGCAUUCUUGUGGCAAGUGCAAGGUGCGUCGAACUCUAAGCAGCAGCAUUACAAAGUCAAAGUCCCCAAAGGAGGAUCUUCCCAAAGAUCAUAAUUACAGUAGCCUGAACUGCGUUGUAGAGCCAGCUGUCUCAAAUCAAAGACUUGCACAUCACUCUCUCAGUUCCACCAGGGAACAAAGGGAGAACACUGAACCUGUAAGUGGGUUGGAUAAUGUUGAAUCAAGCACUGACGACUCAGAGUGUGAGGAGCAAGACAACGUUGAAAUUGUGGUGCUUCGCGCUAUGCCUCAGACGGAAGGAGUGACCAACACAGGCAGGGUCGUACUGCAGGCAGCAUAUGAGAAGGUCAUUAAAACACAGGUUCGUGGAGAUAAACCUUCUAAAACAGAAGAACAAGAAGAAACCACUAAGUCUAACCACACAAUGUCUUCAAUGCCUGAUUCAGUCUCCGUUAAGUUGGAGCCAGAACAGAAGGAAAUUAGUAUCAAAGAGGAGGACAGUGUUGAGGACAGCUUUUGGGAGUGUGCACCCAUUGAAGAAGAUCUAGAAAACAUAAAGAAAGAGGAAAACACUGAAAUCAAAGUGGAAAGUGACAACACAAACCUACACAUUUCUUUACGCUCCCCUGUUGAGGAUUCAAGCACAGAAACUGAUGGAGCCUCUGGCGUUUCCACAGAUGACAGGAGGAGUGAAUCCCUGGAGGGGAGUUCCACGAGAGAACUUCAGCCCAGGAUUGUCGACAUAAGAUCUGGCGUUUCCAUGGAAGACCAGAAGAGUGACUCCCUGCAGGAAAGUUCCACGAGAGAACUUCAGCCCAGGAUUGUCGACAUAAGAUCUGGCGUUUCCAUGGAAGACAAGAAGAGUGACUCCCUGCAGGAAAGUUCUACGAGAGAAUUUCACCCCAGGAUUGUCGACAUAAGAUCUGGCGUUUCCAUGGAAGACAAGAAGAGUGACUCCCUGGAGGAAAGUUCCACAAGAGAACUUCAGCCCAGGAUUGUCGACAUUAGAUCGAUUUGUACAACUAACACUUACGAUAAGCAAUUUGAACCGGUCAAAGCAGUUGCAAAACUCACCAACUUGCCAUCAAGCGGUACACUGGUAAAUUCUGUAAAAGUCAGUGCAGGUUCUCAAUCGGGCACAUUUACAAGUGCAGGUCGGCAAUCUUGCACGUCCACAAGUGCAGGUCCGCAAUCGUGCAAGUCUACAAGUGCAGGUCCUCAAUCGUGCACGUCUACAGUGAAACCAAUCAAUUCUGUAAAUCCCAGUGCAGCAGCACCUAAAUCCAGUUCAUCUAAAGACAUUCACAUUUGUUAUUCCUGUGGUCUUCUCAAAGUUCCCUGCGCCUGUUUGAGCAGGCAGAAGACCUGCUACAUAUGUCGUGAAGUGUGUGAUAGUGAACAGUUGCUGCUGAAACACCAGUCUGAGAAGCACCCCUUAACCAAAUACGUCUGCUCCACAUGCGUCCAGGUGUUUCCCAACCAGAACAGUUUUGCAAUGCACGCUUGCUGCCAGCUCAAGUUGCCUGCGCUCCCAAAUGCGACUCCCGCAAAGACUACUAAAAGCAAUGUUAAAAAUCCACCUACAAUGUAUGUGAAAUUUAUACGACCGCCCGCUGUUCCGGGGUCUUCAAACCAACCCCUCAACAAUGGUGGCAGUCAGACUAGCACCUCUGUUCCCUCCGCUUUUAACUUCAUCGUCUCCAACAACGUCAUCAAGAUCGUUGAUGCGUCUCAGAAUCUGCUGCCCAACAAUCCGUGCCCUACCCAAACAGUGCCUGUGCCAUCAACACCAUCAACACCAAACAACGCUGGCCGCAAUGUGGCGAGUGUAGCCUUAAAUGGAGGGCAGGCCUCAGUGAAUCCUUUGUCUACGGUGACUUGGACAAAAUCAGGGCAGAUGCAGGUGAUAAUCCCAUCUGCCUCGCCAGCCGGCACAAAACCGAAUCAAACUGAGAUUGUUUUCCAAGGUGGCGUCCCAUCCCAAGUUCAGCAGGUUCUUGCUGCUAAUUCUGUUGUCCCUGAGACUCUGGUUUCUGGGAGCUCAGCCCAAGGAUGUAAUCAGUCCAAAGUUGCUCUUCGUAUCCCUUCUUAUCCUUCAAAUUCCAAUAAAGUUAGUGUAUCCUUCUCGCCUACUCCCGUCCAGUUUCCUACACCCACUUUUGUCUCGGCCGGUAGGGUGAGGACACUACCUUCCACAAGCCACAAACUUCCAGGACUUGUUAGACCAUUUGUGGUCCCUUUACCUAAACCUUCUUCUGCUUCUGCUCCUCUACCUCCUCCUGCUCUUGCCCCUCCUCCUGUCAGAAGUUCCGCAUCCCCUCCAACCCAAAAAGCAGCCCUUCUUCAACCCAGCAUUAUUAACCAUCUAGAUCCUUGCACCCCAUCCAUUUCCCCAGACCAGUCUUCCCCACUUUCCCAGGACUCUCUGAGCAUAGUCACCAUGUUUGUGAAUCAAAGCCAGGAUCUCGCUCUUCAUAAGCGGAUGCGUCAGAAUUGGCGCUCCAAGACCAUGUUCCACUGCCGGCACUGCGGCAUCAUCGCCCGGCAGCCCUCGCUGGGCAUCCGGCACAGGUACCAGCACCGCGGGCCACGUUUGCACAAAUGCCAGUGCGGCAGGACUUUCGAGCAGCGGCUGCAUUUACUGCGGCACCAGGUGCAGCACGCCGAGGCCGUGCGCUAUGUGUGCGCCGCUUGCGGACAGACGUUCCACGGAACCCAUCAGUUGGCCUGCCACAAGCACAAGGUGCGCCUAAAAUCCGUGCAGUCCAACACGAAAAAGCUCGUGAGGCGGGACUGCAGGAACUUGUUUAGCUGCGACUGCGGGCAGGGCUUCUCAAGGUCGUCUGCUCUACUGUGGCACAUGCUUAAAAACUCGAAAUCAUGCAAACGCUCAAAAAAAGGCUCCCUGGCGUCUGAUUUAGCCAAGAACAGCUAACAUGAAGACAUGAAGAACAUAGUGAAAGAUUAAAAGAUAAAGAGGUUUAUAAUUUUUUUUUUUUAUCACGUUGGUGGUGGGUCUGAUUUGUGUAGUGUUCCUAACAACAUUUAAAACAUUAAAACUUGUUCUUUUUUUUUUAUAAAUCCUGGUCCUGGCAUCCCCUCUGCUUUGCACAUUUUUGAGGUUUCCCUGCCNNNNNNNNNNNNNNNNNNNNNNNNNNNNNNNNNNNNNNNNNNNNNNNNNNNNNNNNNNNNNNNNNNNNNNNNNNNNNNNNNNNNNNNNNNNNNNNNNNNNCUACAUUAAAAGUAAGAGAAAACAUACAGAAUGAAGGAGUGAAGGAGGAAUCAAUUACUUGAGUGAAAUCCAGAGGUUUGUUACGUACUUAAGUAGAAAUUUUGGUUAUUUAUACUUUACUGGAGUAAUAUUUUUUUUAGUCAACCUUUACUUCUAC
ensembl:lncRNA